GAUGAACGCUCGCUACAGGCUUAACACAUGCAAGUCGCGGGGCAGCAUGGGGGUUGCUUGCAAUCCCCGAUGGCGACCGGCGCACGGGUGAGUAACGCGUAUCCAACCUGCCCUUCACCACGGGAUAACCCGGCGAAAGUCGGACUAAUACCGUAUGUUGUCCAUUGACGGCAUCCGAUUUGGACGAAAGGCUUGGCGGUGAGGGAUGGGGAUGCGUCCGAUUAGCCAGACGGCGGGGUAACGGCCCACCGUGGCUACGAUCGGUAGGGGUUCUGAGAGGAAGGUCCCCCACACUGGAACUGAGACACGGUCCAGACUCCUACGGGAGGCAGCAGUGAGGAAGAUUGGUCAAUGGGCGUAAGCCUGAACCAGCCAAGUAGCGUGCAGGAUGACGGCCCUAUGGGUUGUAAACUGCUUUUAUGCGGGGAUAAAGUGGCCCACGUGUGGGCUUUUGCAGGUACCGCAUGAAUAAGGACCGGCUAAUUCCGUG
rnacentral:rRNA from 1 species